UACGUAGGGGGCAAGCGUUGUCCGGAUUCAUUGGGCGUAAAGAGCUCGUAGGCGGCUUGGCAAGUCGGGUGUGAAAACUCCAGGCUCAACCUGGAGACGCCACCCGAUACUGCCAUGGCUUGAGUCCGGUAGGGGAGAUUGGAAUUCCUGGUGUAGCGGUGGAAUGCGCAGAUAUCAGGAGGAACACCGAUGGCGAAGGCAGAUCUCUGGGCCGUAACUGACGCUGAGGAGCGAAAGCAUGGGGAGCGAACAGG
rnacentral:rRNA from 1 species